AGCGUACACGGUGGAUGCCCUGGCAGUCAGAGGCGAUGAAGGACGUGCUAAUCUGCGAAAAGCGUCGGUAAGGUGAUAUGAACCGUUAUAACCGGCGAUGUCCGAAUGGGGAAACCCAGUGCAAUUCGUUGCACUAUCGUUAACUGAAUACAUAGGUUAACGAGGCGAACCGGGGGAACUGAAACAUCUAAGUACCCCGAGGAAAAGAAAUCAACCGAGAUUCCCCCAGUAGCGGCGAGCGAACGGGGAGCAGCCCAGAGUCUGAAUCAGCUUGUGUGUUAGUGGAACGGUCUGGAAAGUCCGACGGUACAGGGUGAUAGUCCCGUACACGAAAGCACACAUGCUGUGAACUCGAAGAGUAGGGCGGGACACGUGGUAUCCUGUCUGAAUAUGGGGGGACCAUCCUCCAAGGCUAAAUACUCCUGACUGACCGAUAGUGAACCAGUACCGUGAGGGAAAGGCGAAAAGAACCCCGGCGAGGGGAGUGAAAAAGAACCUGAAACCGUGUACGUACAAGCAGUGGGAGCACCUUCGGGUGUGACUGCGUACCUUUUGUAUAAUGGGUCAGCGACUUAUAUUCUGUAGCAAGGUUAACCGUAUAGGGGAGCCGCAGGGAAACCGAGUCUUAACUGGGCGUUAAGUUGCAGGGUAUAGACCCGAAACCCGGUGAUCUAGCCAUGGGCAGGUUGAAGGUUGGGUAACACUAACUGGAGGACCGAACCGACUAAUGUUGAAAAAUUAGCGGAUGACUUGUGGCUGGGGGUGAAAGGCCAAUCAAACCGGGAGAUAGCUGGUUCUCCCCGAAAGCUAUUUAGGUAGCGCCUCGUGAAUUCAUCUUCGGGGGUAGAGCACUGUUUCGGCUAGGGGGCCAUCCCGGCUUACCAACCCGAUGCAAACUACGAAUACCGAAGAAUGUUAUCACGGGAGACACACGGCGGGUGCUAACGUCCGUCGUGAAGAGGGAAACAACCCAGACCGCCAGCUAAGGUCCCAAAGUCAUGGUUAAGUGGGAAACGAUGUGGGAAGGCACAGACAGCCAGGAUGUUGGCUUAGAAGCAGCCAUCAUUUAAAGAAAGCGUAAUAGCUCACUGGUCGAGUCGGCCUGCGCGGAAGAUGUAACGGGGCUAAACCAUGCACCGAAGCUGCGGCAGCGACACUAUGUGUUGUUGGGUAGGGGAGCGUUCUGUAAGCCUGCGAAGGUGUGCUGUGAGGCAUGCUGGAGGUAUCAGAAGUGCGAAUGCUGACAUAAGUAACGAUAAAGCGGGUGAAAAGCCCGCUCGCCGGAAGACCAAGGGUUCCUGUCCAACGUUAAUCGGGGCAGGGUGAGUCGACCCCUAAGGCGAGGCCGAAAGGCGUAGUCGAUGGGAAACAGGUUAAUAUUCCUGUACUUGGUGUUACUGCGAAGGGGGGACGGAGAAGGCUAUGUUAGCCGGGCGACGGUUGUCCCGGUUUAAGCAUGUAGGCUGGUUAUCCAGGCAAAUCCGGAUAAUCAAGGCUGAGGUGUGAUGACGAGGCACUACGGUGCUGAAGUAACAAAUGCCCUGCUUCCAGGAAAAGCCUCUAAGCAUCAGGUAACAUCAAAUCGUACCCCAAACCGACACAGGUGGUCAGGUAGAGAAUACCAAGGCGCUUGAGAGAACUCGGGUGAAGGAACUAGGCAAAAUGGUGCCGUAACUUCGGGAGAAGGCACGCUGGUGUGUAGGUGAAGUCCCUGCGGAUGGAGCUGAGACCAGUCGAAGAUACCAGCUGGCUGCAACUGUUUAUUAAAAACACAGCACUGUGCAAACACGAAAGUGGACGUAUACGGUGUGACGCCUGCCCGGUGCCGGAAGGUUAAUUGAUGGGGUUAUCCGUAAGGAGAAGCUCUUGAUCGAAGCCCCGGUAAACGGCGGCCGUAACUAUAACGGUCCUAAGGUAGCGAAAUUCCUUGUCGGGUAAGUUCCGACCUGCACGAAUGGCGUAAUGAUGGCCAGGCUGUCUCCACCCGAGACUCAGUGAAAUUGAACUCGCUGUGAAGAUGCAGUGUACCCGCGGCAAGACGGAAAGACCCCGUGAACCUUUACUAUAGCUUGACACUGAACACUGGUCCUUGAUGUGUAGGAUAGGUGGGAGGCUUUGAAGCGUGGACGCCAGUCUGCGUGGAGCCAACCUUGAAAUACCACCCUUUAAUGUUUGAUGUUCUAACGUUGGCCCCUUACCGGGGUUGCGGACAGUGUCUGGUGGGUAGUUUGACUGGGGCGGUCUCCUCCCAAAGCGUAACGGAGGAGCACGAAGGUUAGCUAAUCCUGGUCGGACAUCAGGAGGUUAGUGCAAUGGCAUAAGCUAGCUUGACUGCGAGCGUGACGGCGCGAGCAGGUGCGAAAGCAGGUCAUAGUGAUCCGGUGGUUCUGAAUGGAAGGGCCAUCGCUCAACGGAUAAAAGGUACUCCGGGGAUAACAGGCUGAUACCGCCCAAGAGUUCAUAUCGACGGCGGUGUUUGGCACCUCGAUGUCGGCUCAUCACAUCCUGGGGCUGAAGUAGGUCCCAAGGGUAUGGCUGUUCGCCAUUUAAAGUGGUACGCGAGCUGGGUUUAGAACGUCGUGAGACAGUUCGGUCCCUAUCUGCCGUGGGCGCUGGAGAAUUGAGGGGGGCUGCUCCUAGUACGAGAGGACCGGAGUGGACGCAUCACUGGUGUUCGGGUUGUCAUGCCAAUGGCACUGCCCGGUAGCUAAAUGCGGAAGAGAUAAGUGCUGAAAGCAUCUAAGCACGAAACUUGCCCCGAGAUGAGUUCUCCCUGAGACUUUAAGUCUCCUGAAGGAACGUUAAAGACGAUGACGUUGAUAGGCCGGGUGUGUAAGCGCAGCGAUGCGUUGAGCUAACCGGUACUAAUGAACCGUGAGGCUUAACC
rnacentral:rRNA from 1 species